rnacentral:lncRNA from 1 species
CAGAGACUCAAAGUAAAUCUUCUCUUUGGCAAAUCAGAAGGCUCUGCAUAAAUCUCACACUCCAAUUCCAAUCGACCUGACCAUCAGAAAAGACAAAAAGGGAAAAUCCUGGCCAGUUCUCCCCUACCUGAUCAACCAGUAGCAUAAUCAGAUUUGCAAGACCUCAAGAAAAGAAACCUGAAAAUGCCACUGGAGGUGUGUGUUUUGCCAAAGAAAAAAGAAUCAAAAACAAAACCUGCAGGAUGAGGACAAACAAACAAAGAGC